UACGUAGGGGGCAAGCGUUGUCCAGAUUUAUUGGGCGUAAAGAGCGUGUAGGCGGUUUGGUAGGUCCGUUGUGAAAACUCGAGGCUCAACCUCGAGACGCCGGCGGAAACCAUCAGGCUAGAGUCCGGAAGAGGAGAGUGGAAUUCCUGGUGUAGCGGUGAAAUGCGCAGAUAUCGGGAGGAACACCGGUGGCGAAGGCGGUUCUCUGGGCCUUACCUGACGCUGAGGAGCGAAAGCGUGGGGAGCGAACAGG
rnacentral:rRNA from 1 species